UAAACGGAGGAAAAGAAACUAACAAGGAUUCCCCUAGUAACGGCGAGUGAAGCGGGAAAAGCUCAAAUUUGUAAUCUGGCGCCUUCGGUGUCCGAGUUGUAAUCUCGAGAAGUAUUUUCCGCGCUGGACCGCACAUAAGUCUGUUGGAAUACAGCGUCAUAGUGGUGAGAACCCCGUAUAUGGUGCGGAUGCCCAGUGCUUUGUGAUAUACUUUCGAAGAGUCGAGUUGUUUGGGAAUGCAGCUCAAAUUGGGUGGUAAAUUCCAUCUAAAGCUAAAUAUUGGCGAGAGACCGAUAGCGAACAAGUACCGUGAGGGAAAGAUGAAAAGCACUUUGGAAAGAGAGUUAACAGUACGUGAAAUUGUUGGAAGGGAAACGCUUGAAGUCAGACUUGCAUUUUGGAGUUCAGCCGCAAGGUGUAUUCUUCAAUUCGCAGGCCAGCAUCAGUUUUCGGGGGUGGAAAAUCGUGGUUUGAAGGUAGCAGUUUCGGCUGUGUUAUAGCUUUCCGCUGGAUUCACUUUUGGGGACUGAGGAACGCAGAGCGCUUUUUGCAAGAUUCUCGGGUCUUUCGUACUUUG
rnacentral:rRNA from 1 species